AUUGAACGCUGGCGGCAGGCCUAACACAUGCAAGUCGAACGAGUGGCGGACGGGUGAGUAAUGUAUGGGAAACUGCCUGAAGGAGGGGGAUAACUACUGGAAACGGUAGCUAAUCCCGCAUACCAUCAGAUGUGCCAUGAUGGGAUUAGCUUUUUGGUGGGGUAACGGCUAACAAAGGCGACGAUCCCUAGCCGGUCUGAGAGGAUGACAGGCCACACUGGAACUGAGACACGGUCCAGACUCCUAGGGGAGGCAGCAGUGGGGAAUAUUGCACAAUGGGCGCAAGCCUGAUGAAGCCAUGCCGCGUGUAUGAAGAAGGCCUGCGGGUUGUAAAGUACUUUCAGCGGGGAGGCGUUACCCGCAGAGAAAGCACCGGCUAACUACGUGCCAGCCGCCGCGGUAAUAC
rnacentral:rRNA from 1 species